UACGAGUGCCCCAAGCGUUAUCCGGAAUUAUUGGGCGUAAAGGGUGUGUAGGUGGUCUUGUUAGUCUUCUGUGAAAUUCUUCGGCUUAACCGGGGGUCCGCAGGGGAAACGGCAGGACUAGAGGAUGCGAGAGGUGUGCGGGACUCAUGGUGUAGGGGUGAAAUCCGUUGAUAUCAUGGGGAACACCGAAAGCGAAGGCAGCACACUGGCGCACUCCUGACACUGAAACACGAAAGCGUGGGUAGCGAAUGGG
rnacentral:rRNA from 1 species